CCGCCAUUAGCUCAUCAGGAAAGAGCGCCAGCCUUCGAAGCUGGUGCGCGGGGUUCGGGUCCCCGAUGGCGGUCCA
rnacentral:tRNA from 1 species